rnacentral:rRNA from 1 species
GAUGAACGCUGGCGGCGUGCUUAACACAUGCAAGUCGAACGGGAAUUACUUUAUUGAAACUUCGGUCGAUUUAAUUUAAUUCUAGUGGCGGACGGGUGAGUAACGCGUGGGUAACCUGCCUUAUACAGGGGGAUAACAGUCAGAAAUGGCUGCUAAUAUCGCAUAAGCGCACAGAGCUGCAUGGCUCAGUGUGAAAAACUCCGGUGGUAUAAGAUGGACCCGCGUUGGAUUAGCUGGUUGGUGGGGUAACGGCCCACCAAGGCGACGAUCCAUAGCCGGCCUGAGAGGGUGAACGGCCACAUUGGGACUGAGACACGGCCCAGACUCCUACGGGAGGCAGCAGUGGGGAAUAUUGCACAAUGGGGGAAACCCUGAUGCAGCGACGCCGCGUGAAGGAAGAAGUAUCUCGGUAUGUAAACUUCUAUCAGCAGGGAAGAUAGUGACGGUAC